AUUGAACGCUGGCGGCAGGCUUAACACAUGCAAGUCGAGCGGAGAUGAGGUGCUUGCACCUUAUCUUAGCGGCGGACGGGUGAGUAAUGCUUAGGAAUCUGCCUAUUAGUGGGGGACAACAUUCCGAAAGGAAUGCUAAUACCGCAUACGUCCUACGGGAGAAAGCGGGGGAUCUUCGGACCUUGCGCUAAUAGAUGAGCCUAAGUCGGAUUAGCUAGUUGGUGGGGUAAAGGCCUACCAAGGCGACGAUCUGUAGCGGGUCUGGGAGGAUGAUCCGCCACACUGGGACUGAGACACGGCCCAGACUCCUACGGGAGGCAGCAGUGGGGAAUAUUGGACAAUGGGGGGAACCCUGAUCCAGCCAUGCCGCGUGUGUGAAGAAGGCCUUAUGGUUGUAAAGCACUUUAAGCGAGGAGGAGGCUACUGAGACUAACACUCUUGGAUAGUGGACGUUACUCGCAGAAUAAGCACCGGCUAACUCUGUGCCAGCAGCCGCGGUAACAC
rnacentral:rRNA from 1 species